GCUCUAANCAAGUGAAUCCACUUAAUUCCUG
rnacentral:tRNA from 1 species